AUUGAACGCUGGCGGCAUGCCUUACACAUGCAAGUCGAACGGUAACAGGUCUUCGGAUGCUGACGAGUGGCGAACGGGUGAGUAAUACAUCGGAACGUGCCUAGUAGUGGGGGAUAACUACUCGAAAGAGUGGCUAAUACCGCAUGAGAUCUACGGAUGAAAGCAGGGGAUCGCAAGACCUUGUGCUACUAGAGCGGCCGAUGGCAGAUUAGGUAGUUGGUGGGAUAAAAGAUUACCAAGCCGACGAUCUGUAGCUGGUCUGAGAGGGCGAUCAGCCACACUGGGACUGAGACACGGCCCAGACUCCUACGGGAGGCAGCAGUGGGGAAUUUUGGACAGUGGGCGCAAGCCUGAUCCAGCAAUGCCGCGUGCAGGAUGAAGGCCUUCGGGUUGUAAACUGCUUUUGUUCGGAACGAAAAGCCCUGGGUUAAUACCCUGGGGUCAUGACGGUACCGUAAGAAUAAGCACCGGCUAACUACGUGCCAGCCGCCGCCGUAAGAC
rnacentral:rRNA from 1 species